CGCUAUCACUCCUACGGGAGGCAGCAGUAGGGAAUCUUCCACAAUGGGCGCAAGCCUGAUGGAGCAACACCGCGUGAGUGAAGAAGGGUUUCGGCUCGUAAAGCUCUGUUGUUAAAGAAGAACACGUAUGAGAGUAACUGUUCAUACGUUGACGGUAUUUAACCAGAAAGUCACGGCUAACUACGUGCCAGCAGCCGCGGUAAUACGUAGGUGGCAAGCGUUAUCCGGAUUUAUUGGGCGUAAAGAGAGUGCAGGCGGUUUUCUAAGUCUGAUGUGAAAGCCUUCGGCUUAACCCGGAGAAGUGCAUCGGAAACUGGAUAACUUGAGUGCAGAAGAGGGUAGUGGAACUCCAUGUGUAGCGGUGGAAUGCGUAGAUAUAUGGAAGAACACCAGUGGCGAAGGCGGCUACCUGGUCUGCAACUGACGCUGAGACUCGAAAGCAUGGGUAGCGAACAGGAUUAGAUACCCUGGUAG
rnacentral:rRNA from 1 species